rnacentral:rRNA from 1 species
UACGAAGGGGGCUAGCGUUGUUCGGAAUUACUGGGCGUAAAGCGCGCGCAGGCGGUCUUCCAAGUCAGUGGUGAAAGCCCGGAGCUCAACUCCGGAACUGCCAUUGAAACUGUUAGACUUGAGGACGAGAGAGGUAAGUGGAAUUCCCAGUGUAGAGGUGAAAUUCGUAGAUAUUGGGAAGAACACCGGUGGCGAAGGCGGCUCACUGGCUCGUAUCUGACGCUCAGGCGCGACAGCGUGGGGAUCAAACAGG